rnacentral:rRNA from 1 species
AACAGUUGGAAACGGCUGCUAAUACCUAGUAUUGCUAUUUAGUGAAAGAUUUUUCGCCCAGAUACGAGCUUACAUCCGAUUAGUUUGUUGGUGAGGUAAUGGCUCACCAAGACGAUGAUCGGUAGUUGGUUUGUGAAAAUGAUCAACCACAUUGGGAUUGAGAUAAGGGACAAACUUCUACGGAAGGCAGCAGUGGGGAAUAUUUCUUUAAUGAGUGAAAGCUUGAAGGAGCAAUACCGCGUGAAGGAUGAAGGCUUUCGGGUCGUAAACUUCUUUUCUCAUUGAAGAAGAUCUGACGGUAUUUGAGGAAUAAGCAUCGGCUAAUUUUGUGCCAGCAGCGUGUGACAAGAGGUGUUUACACCUCCGUGGACAUCUAUACUUAUUAAGUAUUAUAGUUCCGGAAAGUUGAAUAUGUAAUGAAACCUAGGUAGAAGGUCCUCCUUCGAUCCGAUGAUGUAAACCUGGGGUCGGGUUGAUGUCAUGAGCCGGAUCAGAGAAUGGGGUUUGGAAAUCGUACAACCCUCAUUGAAGGAUGUUACCAGUAUCAGUUUAGAAGGUAAUAACCCAGCGAAUCUGUGAAUAAAAUACCGAAUCACGAAGUCUGUAGUUACGAUCUAAUCCUAUUUGAGGGAAUACGGGCGCUAUAAUGCGGUGGCAUAUAUGUUUGUGGGCAUUACUGCGUGUCCAUGCUACUAACAAGCCACAGGUAUAGAGCAGAGAACUGAUAUUGGGCGAUACUAUACAUAUUCGAAACUUGGAAAAGACAAAUUCGUGCUGGAGUAAUCCAGAAUAGACUCUCUAAAGAAUUUGGAAUAAGAUGGAGGAAGAAGCGAAUGCCAGACUAGUGAUAGUUGCUGAAAAGGUUAAAUGGAUGUAAUGUCCUGGAUAUGCUGAAAUUCUUCGCAAGGGGUCUUUAAAUAAUAUAACGGACCUACCUUGAGUAGCCGUAUGAGUGGUAACGCUCACGUACGGUUUCGGAUGAGAAGUGAUCAAGGCAACUUGACAUUGACUCUCUAAUCGCGGUAAUACAAGAGAUGCAAGCGUUAUCUAUUGUUAUUGGGCGUAAAGCGUCUGUAGGUGGUUAAAUGUGUUUGGUGUUAAAUCCUAAAGCUUAACUUUAGUCAAGCACUAAAAACUGUUUAACUUGAGUUUAGUAGGGGUGGAGGGUAUUUCCAGUGUAGUGGUGAAAUACGUAGAUAUUGGAAGGAACGUCAAUCGCGAAGGCGCUUCGCUGGGCUAAUUUACUGACACUGAGAGACGAAAGCUAAGGGAGCAAAACGGAUUAGAUACCCGUGUAGUCUUAGCUGUAAACUAUGGAUACUAAAUGACACAAUUUAGUGUUGUUGUAGCUAACGCGUAAGUAUCCCGCCUGGGGAGUACGCUUGCAAAAGUGAAACUCAAAGGAAUUGACGGGGGCUCGCACAAGCGGUGGAGCAUGUGGUUUAAUUCGAUGGUACCCGAAUAAUCUUACCAGAGUUUGACAUGCUAGGAAGUUUCUGUAAGGAGAUGUGCCGUAAGGAACCUAGACACAGGUAGUGCAUGGCUGUCGUCAGCUCGUGUCGUGAGAUGUUGGGUUAAGUCCCGCAACGAGCGCAACCCUUGUUUUUAGUUGUUUUUUUCUUUCUAAAAAGACUGCCGAUUAUAAAUCGGAGGAAGGUGGGGAUGAGGUCAAGUCAACAUGCUCUUUAUAUUCUGGGCUACACACGUGCUACAAUGGUUAAGACAAUGAGUUGCGAAUCUGUGAAGGUUAGCUAAUCUCAAAAACUUAGUCUAAGUUCAGAUGGUAGGCUGUAACUCGCCUACCUGAAGGCGGAAUCGCUAGUAAUCGCCGAUCACCUAUGCGGCGGUGAAUACGUUCUCGAGCCUUGUACACACCGCCCGUCACAUUCUGGGAGUUGGUUAUACCUGAAGAUGUUA